GUGAGCAGCGUGAGCGCUCUGUCCGUCCCCCGUCACUCGUCCCUCACCACCGACUCCUUCAGCAGCGAGUCGUCCUUCCUCUGCUCCUCCUCCGUCUCCUCGUCUCCCUCACACGCUUCCACAAGGAGCUCAACGAUACCAACAGCUUCAUCACAGCGAAUGCCAGUGAUGAUGGGGACUCUGAACAAGAUGAGGAACAGGUGAUUAAUUGGGAAGGACACAGCAAACAUGACUCCGAGUCCAAUGCUCAAAACACCACUGCUGAUCUGCA
ensembl:lncRNA